rnacentral:rRNA from 1 species
ACGCUCACACCUACGGGGGCAGCAGUUAGGAAUAUUGGGCAAUGGAGGGAACUCUGACCCAGCAACGCCGCGUGAAGGAAGAAGGUUUUCGGACUGUAAACUUCUGAUCUAAGGGAAAAAGAAAGUGAUGGUACCUUAGGAGAAAGCCACGGCUAACUACGUGCCAGCAGCCGGCGGUAAUCUGAGGCGGGCUGGCAAGGC